rnacentral:tRNA from 1 species
CGGGCGGUAGCGCAGCCUGGUAGCGCACGUGCUUUGGGAGCAUGAGGUCGGAGGUUCGAAUCCUCUCCGCCCGA